GCUCUUAUGACGCCCCUGAGGCUGCGGAAACAUGAUUAAAGUUGUAAAAAGGAAGAAUAAUAUAGCAAUGUACCCAUUUUAGUGAAUGAAAAUGUAAUCUCCCAUGGCAAUGUCAUCUCCAAGUACUUUGAAUCCUCUCUUUGUUUUUUUGUAAAAGAGACAAUGGUGUUUUUAUUACCAAAGCUAAUUGUAAUCUCCAGCGGUUUUUUUCCGUUAUCAAUAAUGCAACUCUCUGUAAUUUUCUCU